GACGAAACGCUGGCGGCGUGCCUAACACAUGCAAGUCGAGCGGGGUUGAAGCGAGAGGUAACUCGAGCUUCUACCUAGCGGCGGACGGGUGAGUAAACGCGUGGGCAACCUGCCUCAAGGUUUGGGAUAACAGCCCGAAAGGGCUGCUAAUACCGGAUAUGCCUAUGGCCUCGCAUGGGGCUAUGAGCAAAGGGGAAACCCGCCUUGAGAUGGGCCCGCGUCCCAUCAGCUAGUUGGUGAGGUAACAGCUCACCAAGGCGACGACGGGUAGCCGGCCUGAGAGGGUGACCGGCCACACUGGGACUGGAGACACGGCCCAGACUCCUACGGGGGGCAGCAGUGGGGGAUCUUGCACAAUGGGCGAAAGCCUGAUGCAGCAACGCCGCGUGAAGGAUGAAGGUUUUCGGAUUGUAAACUUCUUUGAUGAGGGACGAUAAUGACGGUACCUCAAAAACAAGCCACGGCUAACUACGUG
rnacentral:rRNA from 1 species